ensembl:snoRNA
AUGCAUCUACUUGACAGGCCUGUAGCAGUUACUGUCUGCUACUCAGAUUUCCACGACGGAUGCAAGAAGAAGGCAUCCUCGCACUUUCUGUCUGUCUGAUUGAGGCAGCCCAGAUUGAAUGGAGGAAUACAGGG